GCCAACAUGGUAUAGUGGUUUGAGAGUUAAAUUGUGACUCUGGAGACCAGGGUUCAAUUCCCCAUUUGGCC